rnacentral:lncRNA from 1 species
UAGCUACCAAAGUUUUAGCUACCAACUUUAGAAUCUAAAUAAUUGGUAGCUAAAACCUUGGUAGUUGUUCUUACAGGGCCUAGAAACAAUUAACUCAUUCUCCUUUUGUCUUCUCAACUUCUCGGUCUCUUGAUAUUGACUUGGGCUUUCGGCUACAAGGUCCAUAGACUUGAACUUGGACUAAUUCUUGGGUGUGGGAUAUGGGCUAUCACUUGUCGGGCUUGGUCAGAUUCAACUUUCGGCUUCUGGGCUUAUG